AUACCAUGGUGAGGGCACUUCCUUUAUAGUUUCUGAAAUUCCUCCUAUGCCCCAUAGAGUGAAUCACCAUCCUUUUGAGUGAAGUUCUGAAUCUCCUUCCUAUGUCU